AAGUCGUAACAAGGUUUCCGUAGGUGAACCUGCGGAAGGAUCAUUAGUGAACGCCCUCACGGGCUUAUAACUAUUCCAAACCUCUGUGAACCGUGCCCUUCGGGGCUAUUUUACAAACAUGGUGUAAUGAACGUCAUAUAUCAUAACAAAACAAAACUUUCAACAACGGAUCUCUUGGCUCUCGCAUCGAUGAAGAACGCAGCGAAAUGCGAUAAGUAAUGUGAAUUGCAGAAUUCAGUGAAUCAUCGAAUCUUUGAACGCACCUUGCGCCCUCUGGUAUUCCGGAGGGCAUGCCUGUUUGAGUGUCAUGUAGACUCAAUCCCUCGGGUUUCCGAGGAGAUUGGACUUGGGUGUUGCCGCUCUGCCGGCUCGCCUUAAAAGACUUAGCGGGAUAGCACCGUAGUCGGCGUAAUAAGUUUCGUCGGUGAAGGUUGUGAUGACUGCUUACAAUCGCCCUCGGGCAAUUUUUGACUCUGACCUCAAAUCAGGUAGGACUACCCGCUGAACUUAAGCAUAUCAAUAAGCAGAGGAAAAGAAACUAACAAGGAUUCCCCUAGUAGCGGCGAGCGAAGCGGGAAGAGCUCAAAUUUGAAAGCUGGCGUCCUUCGGGCGUCCGCAUUGUAAUCUAUAGAG
rnacentral:misc_RNA from 1 species